GUUUUUUUCUUUUCCUUUCUCUUCUUUUCUUACUUUUUCAUUCCCCUACCUCUUUAUUCACUCAACCCACAACUCUCAACCUCAUUUUUCAUCCCAACUAUACCCUAGGAGAGAGAAAGGAAGAAAGACGAAAGGAAAGAAAGAAAGGAAAAAGGAAGAGAAAAGCUCAAAGGAAGCUCGGCUUUGGAGGGGAAAAGAGAAAAUUGAGAGGUUUUCCUCCCCACCCACACACCAUCAUUGAGGUUGAGAAGAUUUUGGUGGUUUGCCUUGUGGAUUUCGAGCAAGGAUCAAUAAAGAUCCAAGGAACCUGAGGCAUGCAUGUGGAAGAAUCUUGGAAUGCGUGGUGAUUUUGAGCUAGGUUAAGUGGUGGUUUUCAAGAUCAAAGGUAAUUGGAUCCUAGGUCAAGGUGCUCCCUUCUAUUCAUCUUUCGGUAGGUUCACUAUGACUCUCAAUGAUAGCACCCACGCCCAAAGUCACUCUACUGGUUGUCAAGGGUCAGUUGUAUGUUAUGUGUGAUAGUUU